GAUGAACGCUGGCGGCGUGCUUAACACAUGCAAGUCGAACGAAGCACUUUAUUUGAUUUCCUUCGGGACUGAUUAUUUUGUGACUGAGUGGCGGACGGGUGAGUAACGCGUGGGUAACCUGCCUUGUACAGGGGGAUAACAGUUGGAAACGGCUGCUAAUACCGCAUAAGCGCACGGCAUCGCAUGAUGCAGUGUGAAAAACUCCGGUGGUAUAAGAUGGACCCGCGUUGGAUUAGCUAGUUGGUGAGGUAACGGCCCACCAAGGCGACGAUCCAUAGCCGAACUGAGAGGGUGACCGGCAACAUUGGGACUGAGACACGGCCCAAACUCCUACGGGAGGCAGCAGUGGGGAAUAUUGCACAAUGGGCGAAAGCCUGAUGCAGCGACGCCGCGUGAGCGAAGAAGUAUUUCGGUAUGUAAAGCUCUAUCAGCAGGGAAGAUAAUGACGGUACCUGACGAAGAAGCACCGGCUAAAUACGUG
rnacentral:rRNA from 1 species